AUGAGCAAAAAUUACGACGCAAGUUGUUUUCCACUGAAAACAAUGCAAUUGAUUGCGCUGGUGCCUCCACGUCCUGCGCUUUAGCUUGGACUCUCCGCACAAACUACUGGAUACAGCGCACAUUUAUCUAGGUUUAAUGUUUAAACAUUGUUAUAUGCUUGAACUGUUUUAGUAUAUCUAUAGAUUGUAUUUUAGGCAAGUCGUGAUGAUUUGAGAAGGCUAAAUUCAUCAAACAUAAGCUAUGAUCAGCCUGCCGGUGUUCCGGAGAAUUCAGUUCCCCUGUUUGCCCCUCAUAGCGCAUGCGCAACUUCAGCAGUGUUGCCAGUUUGCUUAGAGAGACGGCUAUGGUUUUGAGUAGCAAUUGGGCGAGUUUUGUUGUGAAAAUCUGGCAACCCUGAUUCAGUACGAAAAUCAUGACUUCAUGAUUUCGCCCAGGCGAAGAGAGUGCUUUUGCUGUCUUUUCGCAAGCAAGCACAAGGUUCAUUUCACCAUGUGCAUUAGACAAGUUGUGAUUAAAUGCAUGUAGCCUAUUAAUGCACAUAAUGUCAUGUUCAAUCGCUACAAAGUCAGAUUUCCCUGCUAAUUCUACCUUUUGCCUAUUUUAUUAACUGUGACCUGAUUCAUUACGAUUAGACAGUUAAAUUCCUUCAUUCUUUUGUUCGUACGCCCAUUUUCCAUUUUAUUGUUAUUGUUGUUGUUUGUGUUAGUGUGUGUGUGUGUGUGUGUGUGUGUAGUGUAUGCGAGUGCACUUUUAUGCCUUGUCGAAAUAAUAACAAAUAAACUAUAUCGCGCUGCACAAUGAGUAGUCUCUUUUAUUAUUUUAGGUAACCGAUGCUCGUGAUGAUUUUAAUGCCAUAAUUACGUCUAACCAAUUUUAGCUGCAGAACAGUGUCUUUACAUUUAAAACACAGGGGGAACACAAUUUUUCAGAGACCUGAGGAAAGUGGUUCCCCCCUGUAUAUUACCUUCUGAGUAUUUAAAUUACAAAACAAUACAGUCAUGCUGGUGAUGUUUUCGAUGUCAUAAUUAUGUGCAACCACUUUCAUCUACAGAACAGUGUUUUUACAUUUUUUUUACAUAACAGAUUUACCUGGAUGCAAUGUUUGUUUGUUUGUUUGUUAUUUUGUGUUGAUAUUAAUUUGUCAUUUAAGUAGAGGGUUUUAAAAAAAAUAAUUACACAAAACUUGGGCGUGUAACUCCUUUUUCAAUAUGCAGUCACUAUCAUACAGUUUUUUAAUUAUUUAAUUUUUUUUCCCUUCCAAAAAAAAAAAAAAAAUGCAUUGGGAGAGUCUCCGACGAAAGUAAAGAAGUGCCUGGAAAAAACAAGGUAAGACAUGGAAAGAAUUUUUAGUAUUAAAGCUAAAAUGGCAAUGGCAAUGUGGAACAUGAAUUAAUAUUUGUUUUCCUUUUAGAGCUUUUAUGAGGAGUAAAGGCUGCAAAGUUUCAAGGUGGACCUGUGCUAAAGUUCCUCAUCCACUGCAACAAGACGGCACGUCUUGUGGUGUUUUUGUAUGCAAGUUUGCAGAAAAAAUCUUGAGGAAUGAAACAAUCACCUUCUCCAAUACAGAGAAAGGAAUCCCAAUCAUAAGACAAGAAAUAAAAGACACCCUUGUGCAGGAAUCGGGUAAAUACUCAGGAAUCAGGAUUACAGUUACUGCAAAACUGUUAAUUUUACAACUAUUUAAGCAGUGUGUUAUAUUAACAAGUUCAAUUAUUCUUGUUCUGUAUGUUUAAGAGGAUUUUGUUUCUAUAUUACUGCGAGUUAAAUAAUAAAUGUGACUUAAUGUUAUUUAUAUACUCUUUUAUAGAAGAUUUAAACAGUCUCUGUCAUUUUUGUGGACUACGCAAUGACCAAAGUGAUUCAGACGUAACACUUGCAUGGGCAAUUGGGGACUUUAUUAUAUUUUUAAUCAAACCUAGUACUAUCUUAUGUUUGGUCCUUGCUAAACUGGCAAAAGUUGUUACACAUUAUUUUAAUCUAAUCCAUUGUGGUGAUCUUUCAGAUUGCCUGCAUGUGAUGGAUGUGACCAAUCAUGUGUUGGCAACCCACCAGUGAAUGAAGACUAUUAUUGCCCAAUGUGUGUGUGUUGAGUCGGUUGAGAUUUAGACAUACCCUGUCUUUAACCGUACACAGACAAAGUACGCAUGCGCCUAGCAGAGCUAGACAAGACGAGCAUUUGUGGUUAAAAAGUGUAUAAACUAUUUUUUUUUAAGAAAAUUACAGAUGGUUUCGCUAGAUACAUUGUGACUGAUAAAUUCUUUGCGACUGAAGAAAGGGAGACAUGAACAUCUUGGAUGACAUGGGGGAAAAACAGCCAACCACCGGAGGGCAUCCCCAGAGUGACAUCACCCAACAUGCGCAGCAGCCAAUCAGCACCCAUGGUUCCCUCAACCAGGAAAGGAAAACCAGCCGAAAGAUCAGCUGUCAACUCAAUCGCAAGUAAAACAAACAAAAUCAUCCUUUCUUGCUGGAAAACUGGUGACAAAUACUUAAGCAGUAAAGAUAGCCAAGUCUCUGCUUUUAUGAGUUUUCUCAGGUUGAAUUUAAAGAAAACGGGUAUUAGAACUUUGGGAACUUCAUGCAAAUGCAGCAACUCAUUUCCUGAACCGUCUGGUAAUUCUGCAAAGAGCAGCAUACUUGAUAAUAUCAGUCAGCUCGCCUCGGCUACUGCAAUUUUCCUCACUGUAGUUACAAUAGGAUGAAAUAUGAUAUCAAACACCACUGCCUCUUUUUGUUUUCAUUUAAACAUAUUAGGAAAUGUAGUUCAGGGAAUGUACAUUACAAUGAAACGAAAUAUUAUAUCAAACAGCAUUCAUUUUCAUUUUAACAUACAGAUUAAUAAAAUAAUAGAAUAAAGACCAAAGAUGUUAGAUUUACCCAAAGCGAAUUAUAUCACUAUACCAGCAAAUUAUACCACUACAGUACAGAGACAUCAGAGUCAGUGUCAAAUGUCAGAAGGACUAGCCUAGGUUAUGCUCCUCUCAGUGGGAUACAAGAGCAUUGAGCGCCCGGUGAUCGCGUGUAGCUCACGUCUCCGAAAUCGGCGAAGCACAUUUUCAAAUAGACACUGUUUUUAGAAAUAAACCGCAGAUUUGAGCUUUAAACAACUACAUUCUCACCUUAAAUACUUUUAAAACUACAUUUCAUGACACAAUAACAGUAAUAUUUUUUUUUUUCUAUAUUUUUAAACUCAACCAAUCAGCAUGCUCAGCACCCCGAAGGUUCCGGACCUUUGAAAAAGUACUACCUCGCAAGCAAGGACUUUCUGAGGGGCAAAUUUGUACCCGGAACUUUAUUUAGACCCUGGUUCCUGCGGUGGAAAGUACCGGCACAAAGUUCCUAGUUCCUGGGGAAAGUUCCUGCGUGGAAAAGGGGCUUAAUAUGCAUAUUUUUACCUUACACACUGCAUUAUUUGAAAAAUACAAUAUAAUGUGUGUUUUCCCCCAUAAUAAAUGUAUUAUUUCACACAGAAAUGAAUGUUAUUUAAUUUAUUUAGCAGUCUGGUUGUUAUGAUCAGCAAUGAAAGGAUUGCUCUAGAACAUCAGAGUAUGAAACACACACAGAGGACAAUAUGUAAAACUUUAGUAACACUUUACAAUAAGGUUUCAGUUGUUAACAUUAACUAUAUUAAUUAACAAACAAUUUUUAUAUUGCAUUUAUGAAUCUUAUUUAAUGUUCAAAAUUUAGUGAUACAUACUUAAUUGAAAUGUAAAGAUGUAUCUGUUAACAUUAGUUAAUAUACCAUGAACAAACAUUAACAUUUUUAUUAAUUAGCAUUAGCAAAGAUUGAUAAACUGUAAAAAUAUAUUGUUCAU